AUUGAACGCUGGCGGCAGGCCUAACACAUGCAAGUCGAACGAGUGGCGGACGGGUGAGUAAUGUCUGGGAAACUGCCCGAUGGAGGGGGAUAACUACUGGAAACGGUAGCUAAUACCGCAUACCAUCGGAUUUGCCCAGAUGGGAUUAGCUUGUAGGUGAGGUAACGGCUCACCUAGGCGGCGAGCCCUAGGUGAGCUGAGAGGAUGACCAUCCACACGUGAGUGGAGACACGGUCCAGACUCCUACGGGAGGCAGCAGUGGGGAAUAUUGCACAAUGGGCGCAAGCCUUAUGCAGCCAUGCCGCGUGUAUGAAGAAGGCGUUCGGGUUGUAAAGUACUUUUAGCGGGGAGGCGUUACCCGCAGAAGAAGCACCGGCUAACUCCGUGCCAGCAGCCGCGGUAAUUC
rnacentral:rRNA from 1 species